GGGAUAACACCUGGAAACAGAUGCUAAUACCGGAUAACAACACUAGACGCAUGUCUAGAGUUUGAAAGAUGGUUCUGCUAUCACUCUUGGAUGGACCUGCGGUGCAUUAGCUAGUUGGUAAGGUAACGGCUUACCAAGGCAAUGAUGCAUAGCCGAGUUGAGAGACUGAUCGGCCACAUUGGGACUGAGACACGGCCCAAACUCCUACGGGAGGCAGCAGUAGGGAAUCUUCCACAAUGGACGAAAGUCUGAUGGAGCAACGCCGCGUGAGUGAAGAAGGGUUUCGGCUCGUAAAGCUCUGUUGGUAGUGAAGAAAGAUAGAGGUAGUAACUGGCCUUUAUUUGACGGUAAUUACUUAGAAAGUCACGGCUAACUACGUGCCAGCAGCCGCGGUAAUACGUAGGUGGCAAGCGUUGUCCGGAUUUAUUGGGCGUAAAGCGAGUGCAGGCGGUUCAAUAAGUCUGAUGUGAAAGCCUUCGGCUCAACCGGAGAAUUGCAUCAGAAACUGUUGAACUUGAGUGCAGAAGAGGAGAGUGGAACUCCAUGUGUAGCGGUGGAAUGCGUAGAUAUAUGGAAGAACACCAGUGGCGAAGGCGGCUCUCUGGUCUGCAACUGACGCUGAGGCUCGAAAGCAUGGGUAGCGAACAGGAUUAGAUACCCUGGUAGUCCAUGCCGUAAACGAUGAGUGAUAAGUGUUGG
rnacentral:rRNA from 1 species